UACAGAGGUGGCAAGCGUUGUUCGGAAUUACUGGGCGUAAAGGGCGCGUAGGUGGCCUUCUUAGUCAGACGUGAAAUCCCCAGGCUUAACCUGGGAACUGCGUCUGAUACUGGAAGGCUCGAGUUCGGGAGAGGAAUGUGGAAUUCCAGGUGUAGCGGUGAAAUGCGUAGAUAUCGGGAGGAACACCAGUGGCGAAGGCGACUACCUGGCCUGUUUCUUGACGCUGAGGCGCGAAAGCUAGGGGAGCAAACGGG
rnacentral:rRNA from 1 species